rnacentral:rRNA from 1 species
GCGAGUGAAGAGGGAAGAGCCCAAGAUUGAAAGCUGGCGUCUUCGGCGUCCGCAUUGUAAUCUCAAGAAGUGUUUUCCGCUUCGGACCAUGCCUAAGUCCCUUGGAAAAGGGCAUCAUAGAGGGUGAUAAUCCCGUACAUGGCAUGGAGCGCCCGAAGCUUUGUGAUACGCUUUCUAAGAGUCGAGUUGUUUGGGAAUGCAGCUCAAAAUGGGUGGUAAAUGCCAUCUAAGGCUAAAUAUUGGGGAGAGACCGAUAGCGAACAAGUACAGUGAUGGAAAGAUGAAAAGAACUUUGAAAAGAGAGUUAAACAGUACGUGAAAUUGCCAAAAGGGAAGGGUAGGAGGUCAGAGAUGCGGCCUGGGAUUCAGCCUUGCUUUUGCUUGGUGUUUUUCCCAGAUUGCAGGCCAACGUCGGUUUUGGGCACUGGAGAAGGGUAGGAGGAACGUGGCACCUCUCGGGGUGUGUUAUAGCCUCCUACUGGAUACAGCGACCGAGACCGAGGACAGCAGCGUACUCGCAAGAGCGGGCCUUUCGGGCACCUUUACGCUUAGGGCGUUGGCAUAAUGGCCCUCUACCACCCGUCUG